AUGGAGGUAUAUACAGGGAGUACAAGUACCAGAUCAAUGUGGAGCUAUAUACAGGGAGUACCAGUACCAGAUCAAUGUGGAACUAUAUACAGGGAGUACCAGUACCAGAUCAAUGUGGAGCUAUAUACAGGGAGUACCAGUACCAGAUCAAUGUGGAGCUAUAUACAGGGAGUACCAGAUCAAUGUGGAGCUAUAUACAGGGAGUACCAGUACCAGAUCAAUGUGGAGCUAUAUACAGGGAGUACCAGUACCAGAUCAAUGUGGAGCUAUAUACAGGGAGUACCAGUACCAGAUCAAUGUGGAACUAUAUACAGGGAGUACCAGUACCAGAUCAAUGUGGAGCUAUAUACAGGGAGAACCAGUACCAGAUCAAUGUGGAGCUAUAUACAGGGAGUACCAGUACCAGAUCAAUGUGGAGCUAUAUACAGGGAGUACCAGUACCAGAUCAAUGUGGAGCUAUAUACAGGGAGAACCAGUACCAGAUCAAUGUGGAGCUAUAUACAGGGAGUACCAGUACCAGAUCAAUGUGGAGCUAUAUACAGGGAGAACCAGUACCAGAUCAAUGUGGAGCUAUAUACAGGGAGUACCAGUACCAGAUUAAUGUGGAGCUAUAUACAGGGAGUACCAGUACCAGAUCAAUGUGGAGCUAUAUACAGGGAGUACCAGUACCAGAUCAAUGUGGAGCUAUAUACAGGGAGUACCAGUACCAGAUCAAUGUGGAGCUAUAUGGAGGGAGAACCAGUACCAGAUCAAUGUGGAGCUAUAUACAGGGAGUACCAGUACCAGAUCAAUGUGGAGCUAUAUACAGGGAGAACCAGUACCAGAUCAAUGUGGAACUAUAUACAGGGAGUACCAGUACCAGAUCAAUGUGGAGCUAUAUACAGGGAGUACCAGUACCAGAUCAAUGUGGAGCUAUAUACAGGGAGUACCAGUACCAGAUCAAUGUGGAGCUAUAUACAGGGAGUACCAGUACCAGAUCAAUGUGGAACUAUAUACAGGGAGAACCAGUACCAGAUCAAUGUGGAGCUAUAUACAGGGAGAACCAGUACCAGAUCAAUGUGGAGCUAUAUACAGGGAGUACCAGUACCAGAUCAAUGUGGAGCUAUAUACAGGGAAUACCAGUACCAGAUCAAUGUGGAGCUAUAUACAGGGAGUACCAGAUCAAUGUGGAGCUAUAUACAGGGAGUACCAGUACCAGAUCAAUGUGGAGCUAUAUACAGGGAGUACCAGUACCAGAUCAAUGUGGAGCUAUAUACAGGGAAUACCAGUACCAGAUCAAUGUGGAGCUAUAUACAGGGAGUACCAGUACCAGAUCAAUGUAGAGCAGCUAUAUACAGGGGGUACCAGUACCAGAUCAAUGUGGAGAUAUAUACAUGGAGGACCAGUACCAGAUCAAUAUGCAGAGGUACAAGGUAUUUGAGGUAG
rnacentral:lncRNA from 8 species